rnacentral:rRNA from 1 species
UACGAAGGGGGCUAGCGUUGUUCGGAUUUACUGGGCGUAAAGCGCACGUAGGCGGAUCGAUCAGUCAGGGGUGAAAUCCCAGAGCUCAACUCUGGAACUGCCUUUGAUACUGUCGAUCUGGAGUAUGGAAGAGGUGAGUGGAAUUCCGAGUGUAGAGGUGGAAUUCGUAGAUAUUAGGAAGAACACCAGUGGCGAAGGCGGCUCACUGGUCCGGUACUGACGCUGAGGUGCGAAAGCGUGGGGAGCAAACAGG